AAGGGCGCACGGUGGAUGCCUUGGCACUAGAAGCCGAUGAAGGACGUUACUAACGACGAUAUGCUUUGGGGAGCUGUAAGUAAGCUUUGAUCCAGAGAUUUCCGAAUGGGGAAACCCAGCAUGAGUUAUGUCAUGUUAUCGAUAUGUGAAUACAUAGCAUAUCAGAAGGCACACCCGGAGAACUGAAACAUCUUAGUACCCGGAGGAAGAGAAAGAAAAUUCGAUUCCCUUAGUAGCGGCGAGCGAAACGGGAAGAGCCCAAACCAACAAGCUUGCUUGUUGGGGUUGUAGGACACUCUAUACGGAGUUACAAAGGACGACAUUAGACGAAUCAUCUGGAAAGAUGAAUCAAAGAAGGUAAUAAUCCUGUAGUCGAAAAUGUUGUCUCUCUUGAGUGGAUCCUGAGUACGACGGAGCACGUGAAAUUCCGUCGGAAUCUGGGAGGACCAUCUCCUAAGGCUAAAUACUCUCUAGUGACCGAUAGUGAACCAGUACCGUGAGGGAAAGGUGAAAAGCACCCCGGAAGGGGAGUGAAAUAGAACCUGAAACCGUGUGCUUACAAGUAGUCAGAG
rnacentral:rRNA from 1 species